rnacentral:lncRNA from 1 species
AGCUAAUGUGUAGGGAUCAUUGCAGACAGUGAUUAUGUCCCUCUGGAUGGACUGUGGCUUGGUCUUUAGGACUGUGAGGCGAUCUGUGGACGUUGCAUUGAUUUUUGCAAGUACUUCCUCAUACUGGCUAACAGUUGCGAGCUUUCGAAGCAGGUUCUGGAGGAGCUGCUGGACGUUCUUCCGAUACAUCUCAUCACCACUGGUUAUUCUUUGUGCCAACUCCUUUAAGUUUC